rnacentral:rRNA from 1 species
UACCCGCUGAAACUUAAGCAUAUCAAUAAGCGGAGGAAAAGAAACCAACAGGGAUUGCCUUAGUAACUGCGAGUGAAGCGGCAAAAGCUCAAAUUUGAAAUCGGUGUCCUUCUUGGCCAUCGAGUUGUAAUUUGGAGGGAUAACUUCGGUAUGGACUACAUCGUAAGUUCCUUGGAACAGGACGUCAUAGAGGGUGAGAAUCCCGUGUCUUGGUGUUUGGCCGUGCCAUGUGAAGUGUCUCCGACGAGUCGAGUUGUUUGGGAAUGCAGCUCAAAAUGGGUGGUAAAUUUCAUCUAAAGCUAAAUAUUGGCGAGAGACCGAUAGCGCACAAGUAGAGUGAUCGAAAGAUGAAAAGCACUUUGAAAAGAGAGUUAAAAAGUACGUGAAAUUGUUGAAAGGGAAGCGCUUGCGACCAGACUCGAUCUUUGGUGAUCAGCCGGGCUUCGGUCCGGUGCCCUCACCAUUGAUUGGGCCAGCAUCGGUUCUGACGGUGGGAUAAAAGGAGGAGGAAUGUGGCUCCCUUCGGGGAGUGUUAUAGCCUCCUUCACAAUGCCACCAGUUGGGACCGAGGACCGCGCUUCGGCUAGGAUGCUGGCGUAAUGGUCUUAAGCGACCCGUCUUGAAACACGGACCAAGGAGUCUAACAUCUAUGCGAGUGUUCGGGUGGAAAACCCUUGCGCGUAAUGAAAGUGAACGGAGGUGUGAACCCUUCACCGGGUGCAACAUCGACCGGUCCUGAUGUCUUCGGAAGGAUCUGAGUAAGAGCAUAGCUGUUGGGACCCGAAAGAUGGUGAACUAUGCCUGAAUAGGGUGAAGCCAGAGGAAACUCUGGUGGAGGCUCGCAGCGGUUCUGACGUGCAAAUCGAUCGUCAAAUUUGGGUAUAGGGGCGAAAGACUAAUCGAAC